AUAUAUAUAUAUAUACACACACAUACACACACAUAUAUGUGUGUUUAUAUGUGUAUGUGUGUAUAUAUAUGUAUAU